rnacentral:lncRNA from 1 species
UCAUUCUUAAAACAACAUUCUCUCUCUAAACCAAAAUCCUCUCCCUUCUCUCUAAAAAAAACUCUGAAAAAACAAGAUGAAGAUAUUCAUCUUCAACCUUUCUCCGGCGCGGUGGCUUGCCACCCUAGGGUGGCGGCGCCACAGCCGGAGUUCACCCCAAACACCCCUUUUCAAAGACAAAUACACAUUUUAAACUUCCUUUUUCAUUUUCAACCCAAAUCCGACCUUAGCUUUUUGAAAUUCGGCCUCAAAAACCCUAGAUCUAAAAAACAAACUCCAACUACAAACUCUUCACACACUAUUCCAAACACAAAUACGAAUAUAGAACAGGAUAGAUUGAAGCAAAAGAGAGGUGAAGUGAUGUUACCUUUGUUAGAUCGGAGAAAAAAACUUUAGAAAUGGAAAACUUCGAGAUCCGGAAAACUUCACUUGUUUUUACUUCUUUUCUUCUUUGUUUGGCUCGAAAAUGUUGAUGUUGGUGAUGAAAAAUUCACGUCUGGAUUAUAGUGAAGAAAACCGGUUCGAUUUUGGGCUAGACCGAUUCGGUUUAGUGAUUUUUGGUGUUUAUGUGAUGAUUUGAAAAUUGCUUGCAGUUAUUGUUGUGUUGAAAAAUUUAUUACGGCUGGAAUUUUCUAGUUGGUUUUCUCC